GGGUUGUGAGGUUAAGCGACUAAGCGUACACGGUGGAUGCCCUGGCAGUCAGAGGCGAUGAAGGACGUGCUAAUCUGCGAUAAGCGUCGGUAAGGUGAUAUGAACCGUUAUAACCGGCGAUUUCCGAAUGGGGAAACCCAGUGUGUUUCGACACACUAUCAUUAACUGAAUCCAUAGGUUAAUGAGGCGAACCGGGGGAACUGAAACAUCUAAGUACCCCGAGGAAAAGAAAUCAACCGAGAUUCCCCCAGUAGCGGCGAGCGAACGGGGAGCAGCCCAGAGCCUGAAUCAGUGUGUGUGUUAGUGGAAGCGUCUGGAAAGGCGCGCGAUACAGGGUGACAGCCCCGUACACAAAAAUGCACAUGCUGUGAGCUCGAUGAGUAGGGCGGGACACGUGGUAUCCUGUCUGAAUAUGGGGGACCAUCCUCCAAGGCUAAAUACUCCUGACUGACCGAUAGUGAACCAGUACCGUGAGGGAAAGGCGAAAAGAACCCCGGCGAGGGGAGUGAAAAAGAACCUGAAACCGUGUACGUACAAGCAGUGGGAGCACGCUUAGGCGUGUGACUGCGUACCUUUUGUAUAAUGGGUCAGCGACUUAUAUUCUGUAGCAAGGUUAACCGAAUAGGGGAGCCGAAGGGAAACCGAGUCUUAACUGGGCGUUAAGUUGCAGGGUAUAGACCCGAAACCCGGUGAUCUAGCCAUGGGCAGGUUGAAGGUUGGGUAACACUAACUGGAGGACCGAACCGACUAAUGUUGAAAAAUUAGCGGAUGACUUGUGGCUGGGGGUGAAAGGCCAAUCAAACCGGGAGAUAGCUGGUUCUCCCCGAAAGCUAUUUAGGUAGCGCCUCGUGAAUUCAUCUCCGGGGGUAGAGCACUGUUUCGGCAAGGGGGUCAUCCCGACUUACCAACCCGAUGCAAACUGCGAAUACCGGAGAAUGUUAUCACGGGAGACACACGGCGGGUGCUAACGUCCGUCGUGAAGAGGGAAACAACCCAGACCGCCAGCUAAGGUCCCAAAGUCAUGGUUAAGUGGGAAACGAUGUGGGAAGGCCCAGACAGCCAGGAUGUUGGCUUAGAAGCAGCCAUCAUUUAAAGAAAGCGUAAUAGCUCACUGGUCGAGUCGGCCUGCGCGGAAGAUGUAACGGGGCUAAACCAUGCACCGAAGCUGCGGCAGCGACGCUUAUGCGUUGUUGGGUAGGGGAGCGUUCUGUAAGCCUGUGAAGGUGUGCUGUGAGGCAUGCUGGAGGUAUCAGAAGUGCGAAUGCUGACAUAAGUAACGAUAAAGCGGGUGAAAAGCCCGCUCGCCGGAAGACCAAGGGUUCCUGUCCAACGUUAAUCGGGGCAGGGUGAGUCGACCCCUAAGGCGAGGCCGAAAGGCGUAGUCGAUGGGAAACAGGUUAAUAUUCCUGUACUUGGUGUUACUGCGAAGGGGGGACGGAGAAGGCUAUGUUGGCCGGGCGACGGUUGUCCCGGUUUAAGCGUGUAGGCUGGUUUUCCAGGCAAAUCCGGAAAAUCAAGGCUGAGGCGUGAUGACGAGGCACUACGGUGCUGAAGCAACAAAUGCCCUGCUUCCAGGAAAAGCCUCUAAGCAUCAGGUAACAUCAAAUCGUACCCCAAACCGACACAGGUGGUCAGGUAGAGAAUACCAAGGCGCUUGAGAGAACUCGGGUGAAGGAACUAGGCAAAAUGGUGCCGUAACUUCGGGAGAAGGCACGCUGAUAUGUAGGUGAAGUCCCUUGCGGAUGGAGCUGAAAUCAGUCGAAGAUACCAGCUGGCUGCAACUGUUUAUUAAAAACACAGCACUGUGCAAACACGAAAGUGGACGUAUACGGUGUGACGCCUGCCCGGUGCCGGAAGGUUAAUUGAUGGGGUCAGCGCAAGCGAAGCUCUUGAUCGAAGCCCCGGUAAACGGCGGCCGUAACUAUAACGGUCCUAAGGUAGCGAAAUUCCUUGUCGGGUAAGUUCCGACCUGCACGAAUGGCGUAAUGAUGGCCAGGCUGUCUCCACCCGAGACUCAGUGAAAUUGAACUCGCUGUGAAGAUGCAGUGUACCCGCGGCAAGACGGAAAGACCCCGUGAACCUUUACUAUAGCUUGACACUGAACAUUGAGCCUUGAUGUGUAGGAUAGGUGGGAGGCUUUGAAGUGUGGACGCCAGUCUGCAUGGAGCCGACCUUGAAAUACCACCCUUUAAUGUUUGAUGUUCUAACGUUGACCCGUGAUCCGGGUUGCGGACAGUGUCUGGUGGGUAGUUUGACUGGGGCGGUCUCCUCCUAAAGAGUAACGGAGGAGCACGAAGGUUGGCUAAUCCUGGUCGGACAUCAGGAGGUUAGUGCAAUGGCAUAAGCCAGCUUGACUGCGAGCGUGACGGCGCGAGCAGGUGCGAAAGCAGGUCAUAGUGAUCCGGUGGUUCUGAAUGGAAGGGCCAUCGCUCAACGGAUAAAAGGUACUCCGGGGAUAACAGGCUGAUACCGCCCAAGAGUUCAUAUCGACGGCGGUGUUUGGCACCUCGAUGUCGGCUCAUCACAUCCUGGGGCUGAAGUAGGUCCCAAGGGUAUGGCUGUUCGCCAUUUAAAGUGGUACGCGAGCUGGGUUUAGAACGUCGUGAGACAGUUCGGUCCCUAUCUGCCGUGGGCGCUGGAGAAUUGAGGGGGGCUGCUCCUAGUACGAGAGGACCGGAGUGGACGCAUCACUGGUGUUCGGGUUGUCAUGCCAAUGGCACUGCCCGGUAGCUAAAUGCGGAAGAGAUAAGUGCUGAAAGCAUCUAAGCACGAAACUUGCCCCGAGAUGAGUUCUCCCUGACUCCUUGAGAGUCCUGAAGGAACGUUGAAGACGACGACGUUGAUAGGCCGGGUGUGUAAGCGCAGCGAUGCGUUGAGCUAACCGGUACUAAUGAACCGUGAGGCUUAACCUUACAACGCCGAAG
rnacentral:rRNA from 1 species